rnacentral:sRNA from 1 species
UUGCUAUCUGCGAUAUGGAAGAUUCGAACCUGCCGCAGGUUCGGGUCUCACGUAGUGAGACAACGGAGCCGCUUGCGGCGACGGCCCGAAGGGCGAGCAAAGCGAGUCAUCCUGCACGA